rnacentral:misc_RNA from 1 species
GUUUUAAAUUGUUCUGUGUUUGAACAUUGAUUGACUUUGAAUUGAAACAGGAAAGAAUUAAAAAUUAUUUUUGCCUUGCUCAAGUGGAGAGAAACAAAUAGGCUUUUUCCUGGAAUUGUGAUAGAGUCUGAGAGCUUCCUUCCUGAAGGAAUUAAACUAUUAUUUUGAGUGAUUUAUGUCGAUAUACAAUAUAUUUAGAUGAAAUAUUACUAAUUAUGUUUUUCAUACAAGUACUUUAUAUAUUUAAGCUUUGUUAUGUCAUCUUUUAAUUGUAAUUACAUGCAGUAAACUAUUGAAAGUGAUGAAUAAAUGAGAGACAAUCUACAACAUUGAUCUAUUUAUUGAUCCUAGUAAACAAUCUUUGGAAUAAAUAUAUAUACAUGC